UACGUAGGGUGCAAGCGUUAAUCGGAAUUACUGGGCGUAAAGCGUGCGCAGGCGGUUAUGUAAGACAGAUGUGAAAUGCCCGGGCUUAACCUGGGAACUGCAUUUGUGACUGCAUGGCUAGAGUUUGGCAGAGGGGGGUAGAAUUCCAGGUGUAGCGGUGAAAUGCGUAGAUAUCUGGAGGAACACCGGUGGCGAAGGCGGCAUCCUGGACCAACACUGACACUGAUGAGCGAAAGCCAGGGGAGCAAACGGG
rnacentral:rRNA from 1 species